CAGAACGUGGCUGAAAUAGUUAAGCACCUCCCUUACACCGAGAAUAUACCCAUGCGAGCUGGGUCGUUCUGA
rnacentral:tRNA from 1 species